UACAGAGGUCCCAAGCGUUGUUCGGAUUCACUGGGCGUAAAGGGUGCGUAGGCGGUCGGGUAAGUCUGAUGUGAAAUCUCACAGCUUAACUGUGAAACUGCAUUGGAUACUAUCCGGCUAGAGGAAUGGAGGGGAGACUGGAAUACUUGGUGUAGCAGUGAAAUGCGCAGAUAUCAGGAAGAACACCCGUGGCUAAGGCGGCUCUCUAGUACGGUACUGACGCUGAGACGCGAAAGCGUGGGGAGCGAACAGG
rnacentral:rRNA from 1 species